GCACGGACGGCGAUGGCGGGGGAAGGCGCGCGCGGGGCGGUGGCGGCUCUGCGCGCAUUUUGCAGAACCCGGGUGGAGUCAUGGCCCCCUUAGCCGGGCUUGUGUUGAUUUCAGCAGGGCAACUUCCAGAAGUUAAGACGACUUGUAACAUCUCUGUGCUUAGUUUUGGGGGUCAAAGUGGCAAAUUCUAGUCCUCACGAUCAUCCUUUCCUUUAGACACAGUUAAAACCAGAGUCUUCUCCGUGUACACAUGGCUGGAAGUUGGUAGUUUGAGUUUGUGCUUAUUAUCCUAAUAAAAUAUUUGCAAUGAA